rnacentral:tRNA from 1 species
GGCCCUAUCGUCUAGUGGUUAGGACGGCGCGCUUUCAAUGCGUAAACACGGGUUCGAUUCCCGUUAGGGCUA